CCGCAAUCAAACUACCUUUGCUUCCCUAUUGAAGGUAAGAACUAUAUAUUAGUUGGCAUGGUUCACAAGCCCAAUUAAUUAUAAUAGAUGCAGAGCUAAUCAAAGAAUUACUAACCAACAGAGAAGGCGCUUACCAGAAAAUGGAUAUGGAAGGCAUUGCAAAGAAAUUAUCAAAUUAAUAGGUGAGCCGCUUAUAACAAAUGAGGGGAAAAAAUGGGCAAAAGUACACAAACUGGCUAACCACUCAUUCCUUGCAGAGAGCCUAAAGAGCAAGGUACCAGAAAUGAUUGCUAGUGUCGAGGCGUUGCUGGAAAGCAAAGGCUG